rnacentral:rRNA from 2 species
UUAGUAACUGCGAGUGAAGAGGGAAAAGCUCAAAUUUAAAAUCUGGCAGUGCUUUGCUGUCUGAGUUGUAACCUAGAGAAGUGUAGCCUGUGCUGGACUGUGUACAAGUCUCCUGGAAUGGAGCAUCGCAGAGGGUGAGAAUCCCGUCUUUGACAUGGACUUGCCAGUACAUCAUGGCUGUGCUCUCAACGAGUCGAGUUGUUUGGGAAUGCAGCUCUAAAUGGGUGGUAAAUUCCAUCUAAAGCUAAAUAUUGGCGAGAGACCGAUAGCGAACAAGUACCGUGAGGGAAAGAUGAAAAGAACUUUGGAAAGAGAGUUAAACAGUAUGUGAAAUUGUUGAAAGGGAAACGUUUGAAGUCAGUCUUGUUGGCCAGGGAUCAGUCCAACUUUGUUGGGUGUACUUCCUGACCGACAGGCCAACAUCAGUUUUGACUGUCAGAAAAAGGUGAAUGGAAUGUGGCACCUUUGGGUGUGUUAUAGCUGUUCAUCAUAUGUGGCAGUUGGGACUGAGGAAAGCAGUGUGCCGAAAGGGCCGGGUUUCGACCACGUUCACAUUGAGGAUGUUGGCUUAAUGGCUUUAAGCGACCCGUCUUGAAACACGGACCAAGGAGUCUAACAUGCAUGCGAGUGUUUGGGUGGAAAACCCUUACGCGUAAUGAAAGUGAAAGUUGAGAUCCCUGUCAUGGGGAGCAUUGACACCUGGACCAGAACUUUUGGGACGGAUCUGUGGCAGAGCAUGUAUGUUGGGACCCGAAAGAUGGUGAACUAUGCCUGAAUAGGGUGAAGCCAGAGGAAACUCUGGUGGAGGCUCGUAGCGAUUCUGACGUGCAAAUCGAUCGUCAAAUUUGGGUAUAGGGGCGAAAGACUAAUCGAACCAUCUAGUAGCUGGUUCCUGCC